CGCACGUGGAGACGGACGCGCACGUGGAGACGGACGCGCACGUGGAGACGGACGCGCACGUGGAGACGGAAGCGCCAUGAGGCUUCCGUCCGCAGACGUUCACAAGCUGCUCCAUGUAUGGGUCUCUGGCUCUUGAGACAAGCCCGCACUGGAGAGGCGGUCGGUCUUGGGCCUCUAGAUGGCAGCACCAUGCCAUGAGGACUCUAAAGCAGUCCUGUGAAGAGCCCCACAUGGACAGGAAUGAGCCCUCCCACCACCAGCCAGCACCAGCUUGCCAGCCACCUGAGGGCAUCGUCUUAGAAGCAGAUCCUCAUUUGCCCGGGGAAGUCCUCAGAUAAAAUCCCAGCCCUGAGCCUUUGGGUUUCCCAGCUGUGGCCACAGUCUCCAGAGUCCCUGAUCCACUGAAAUUGUGAGAGAGAAUAAAAGUGAUUGCUGUGCUAAGUCAC
ensembl:lncRNA